CGGGAGAAGGCACGCCGGCGUAGGGUGAUGAGACUUGCUCUCUAAGCCCGAACCGGUCGAAGAUACCAGGUGGCUGCAACUGUUUAUUAAAAACACAGCACUCUGCUAACGCGCAAGCGGACGUAUAGGGUGUGACGCCUGCCCGGUGCCGGAAGGUUAAAUGAUGGUGUUAGCCGCAAGGCGAAGCUCUUGAUUGAAGCCCCGGUAAACGGCGGCCGUAACUAUAACGGUCCUAAGGUAGCGAAAUUCCUUGUCGGGUAAGUUCCGACCUGCACGAAUGGCGUAAUGAUGGCCACGCUGUCUCCACCCGAGACUCAGUGAAAUUGAAAUCGCCGUGAAGAUGCGGUGUACCCGCGGCUAGACGGAAAGACCCCGUGAACCUUUACUAUAGCUUCACACUGGACGCUGAUGUUGCCUGUGUAGGAUAGCUGGGAGGCUUUGAACUUUGGACGCCAGUUCGAAGGGAGCCAACCUUGAAAUACCAGCCUGGCAUCAUUGGCGUUCUCACUCAGGUCCGUUAUCCGGAUCGAGGACAGUGUGUGGUGGGUAGUUUGACUGGGGCGGUCUCCUCCUAAAGAGUAACGGAGGAGCACGAAGGUACCCUCAGCACGGUCGGACAUCGUGCAGUGAGUGCAAGAGCAUAAGGGUGCUUGACUGCGAGACAGACACGUCGAGCAGGUGCGAAAGCAGGUUCUAGUGAUCCGGUGGUUCUGUAUGGAAGGGCCAUCGCUCAACGGAUAAAAGGUACUCCGGGGAUAACAGGCUGAUACCGCCCAAGAGUUCACAUCGACGGCGGUGUUUGGCACCUCGAUGUCGGCUCAUCACAUCCUGGGGCUGAAGUCGGUCCCAAGGGUAUGGCUGUUCGCCAUUUAAAGUGGUACGCGAGCUGGGUUUAGAACGUCGUGAGACAGUUCGGUCCCUAUCUGCCGUGGGCGUUGGAUGUUUGAGAAGGGCUGCUCCUAGUACGAGAGGACCGGAGUGGACGACCCUCUGGUGUUCCGGUUGUCACGCCAGUGGCAUUGCCGGGUAGCUAUGGUCGGACGGGAUAACCGCUGAAAGCAUCUAAGCGGGAAGCCCCCUUCAAGAUGAGACAUCCCUGAGGCCUAGAGCCUCCUGAAGGGCCCAGCGAGACCAGCUGGUUGAUAGGCACGGUGUGGAAGCGCUGCAAGGUGUUGAGCUAACGUGUACUAAUGGCCCGUGAGGCUUGACCCUAUAACACCCAAGGGGU
rnacentral:rRNA from 1 species